rnacentral:precursor_RNA from 1 species
AUUGCUUUAGAUUAUGCGCGGGUAUUUUCCGUGUGUUUGCAUAUAACAGUUGAUUUGAUAUUGUAUGAGAAUUAAAUAUGUCCAAUACCCUUAACCGAACUGAUAAUAAAGGAAGGUCUUGAAGUGGAUAGCCCGUCCAGCUGAUGCGUGGUUUAGGUAGUUUGAUGUUGUUGGGGUUGACUUCCUGGCUCGACAACAAGAAACUGCCUUGAUUACGUCAGUUUGCCUUCAUCAAGGCCGUUCAUUUCCGCCAAAUUACCCUUGCAGACUGCGCAAAUGGCAUUGUAAAUGAACCACCGCCGGCGGCUCUACAAUACACAGUAUCCUUCUAUCCUUUCAACAUCUUCGUCGGGUUUAUAUGGUGGCCAGUAAAAAGAAAACUCUAUAGCUUCCAGUGGGUGAAUUGGGGUUAUAAACCCAGAGGUUGUAAGAAACAAUCUCUCCGCUUUGUUGGUAAGACAGACACGCCUUGACAUAGCUUG